GAUGAUAUGCAGGAGAAAGCAAAAAAAAGGUGGAGUCUUUUGACACGAGCGAGCUCACACAGGCUAGAAAACCAUUCAAAUCAGCAGUGCCUUGCUGCAAUUCCAUCGUGUUGGUCGACCGUGUCACGCCAGAUUCCCAUAAGAUGAAGGUGUUCCUCAUCACAGCUGUGCUGAUGAUUGCGGUUUCAGGACAAGCUAUUCCUAGUGAAAAUCACGCUCCCCAGCACGAUCAUCGAACUCCAGUGUCUUAUUUCAAGCCAAUGUAUCGUGAUUAUACGUACAAUGAUGCCUACCAUCCUGAACACAUACCUCCCACCAUGCCGAGAAUAUUGGUCUUCAUCUCUAAGAUAAGAAAAAUGUUUCUCGUCUGACAGAUGUCACUAGAUCUAUUUGUUUUGAUUGUUCUUCUCGUGAUGUGGCCCCAGUGGCUCUCCUCUAAACGUACCUAUAAUAUGAAUAUAGCAAGUGGGAAUCUGUCUGUGAAAUCAAAAUACAAAAAUUCCAUAGUUAA